CUCGUGUAACCUUCUAAAACUGCCAUGAUUAUCAUUAUGUUAUAGAUGAGGACACUAAGACACACAGACGUUAAGCUGCUGAGGUCACAUGGGCAGCACAUGCCAGAGCCCUACUUUGAGCCCCAAAGGGCCACCUGUCAGAGCCAUCAUCCUCGUGUGUGGCUCAGGGGUGGAGGCAGGCGAGGGGUGGCUUCCUGGAGAAGGGGGGGGGCAUGCGGGCGGGGACAGGAGGGUGGGUGUGGACUAACCCCUAGUUCCCGCGUUUGAGGGUGUGAUUGCAGGCUAAGGGUUUGGGGCAGAAUUAUGGCCCCCCAAAUGUCCAUGUCCUGACCCAACCUGUGAAUACGUUAACUCCCACGUCAAAAGGGACUUGGCCAAUUUGGUCAAGUUAAGGAUCUCAAGAUCAUCCCGGAUUAUCCGGGUGGUCCCAUGUGGUCCCAAGGGUCCUUAUAGGAGGGAGGCAGGAGGGUCUGAGUGAGGGGAGAUGUGACAAGGGACAAAAGUCAGAGAGAGAGCGGAAGCCGUCACACCACCGAUGGAGGAGAGGCCAUGCGCCGAGGAACCCGAGUGGCUUCCGGGGAAGCUGGGAAAGGCAAGGAAAGGGGUUCCCUCUGGAGCCUCCAGGCGGAAUGCAGCUCGGCCAACGCCUUGACUUUCGCCCCGUGGGCCCGCUCUGGACUGCUGGCCUCCAGCGCUGGAAGAGAACACGUGUGUGUUCCAACGGCAGCGGCCGGAGCAGACACGGGGCUCGGGACAGCACCGCCCUUCAGAAAGCCAGAUUCAGUCCUACCUUCCGUCUUCCGGGCCCUGUGAUGGGUCUCGGGGACACAGUGGCCAGGGGGACACCACCCCGGGCCCGCUGAACUAGGGGCCCCUCGAGCCGAGCAGGUUAUCAGUAAGUGGCAGCCGACAGAGCCCGUUCCCAGGCUGCACGCAGGGCCUCUGUUUAUCGGAAAGGGGCUUAUCUGGAUGGUGGGGCCGGGCUCGGCAGGGGCGAGGCGGUGCCCACUGCUGCCCACACGCCCCGCGGGGGGUCCUCACCGCGCCGAGUGGGGGUCUCCACGGGCCUGCGGGGAGGCAUGAGGGGUCAGCACCGGCGCCGACACACAAGUGCCCGAACACCGCCCGGCACGUCCGCGGCUACACUGGCCCCGAACUGGAAAUGACCCGCAGGCCAUCCGCAGGGCGGCUCGGGGGCCGCCUUCUCGCUCGGUGGGGCACCAGAACGGCCCCGAAAACAUCUGCUAAUUCUCAUCAGGCUCACACCGAGCCAGAGAGCACCUCUUGCACGACCCCGCUCAUGCAGUGUUCACAAGGAGGAAACGCCAGUCUGCGUGUUGGACGUCAGGUGGGGCUGCCCGGCCGGGCGUGACUCGGGGCGCUGGGUCUCGGGAGAACUGGUGACAGUCCGCUGAGCGGUGUACUCACGGACAGUGUCUUUUCUGAGUGCGCGGUAUAUUGCGAUGCUCAUGCAAGAAAAAGGAAAAGAAAAGAAACACGUAGAAAAGCAAAGUAAGAAAAUAAAAAUCACCCAUAAUUUCAUCCUCUGGAGACAGGAGCUGUGCUCGCCCUUCAGAUUUAGGUGCCUCGUGACCAGAUAUAUUUUAUUAGUUAGACUCUUUGGUGGCCGGUGGCAGAAGCUGACUCCGGCUAUCUGCACUAAUCACAGCACACUUUGCUGCAUCGGGAAAACUCCCAGACUGCCACAGCUUCACACAGUGCACAUUUAUUUCCUGCUCAGAGGCCCCACACAGCUGCUCCAGCAGGUGGAGGGUGUGGGGGCCGCCUGGUCUCACUCAGCCACCCAGACGCCCAGGCUGAAGGCGGUUCUGGGUCUCGGGUCCCCCGUCCUCACGCGGCCACGGGCAGAGGAAGACAGCUGGUGCAGGAGGGGUCUCCGGGCGUGGCGUCCAGACCAUCCCUUUGCUCUCCGUUAGCCAAAUUCGGACCCGUGGCCACCUGCCAGGAGGCUGAGGCUCCAGCUUUGAGGGCCAGCGUCCCUCAAGGUGCCCUGGGAGCCACGGAGCGGGAGGCGGUGAAAGGGCAGCCGUCUGUAGCCAGGGAGACCGGCCACUGCAGCUGCCAGGGACCCUUCCCAGGCUCUGGGCCCCUCCCGCAGGGUUCAGCGUCGCAGACGAGAGCGCUGGCGGUCAAGCCCGAAUCCUACCAUGUCCCUGGCCUUCCAGUAACCCCGGUGCAGGGGGGAAGGCUCUGCCCUCUGCCGGGGUCGCCCCACUCUCUCUCCAGGGAGAGACCACUCUCUGAAGGGCUACUGGGACAGGAGAUCGGUGCUGGACACUCAAAUAACCGUCUUUCAUAUUGUGCACUUCCCUGCGCUGCGUUGCUGGGCCCGGACCCUGUCCUUUGGCCGGUCCCACUCCCCCUGGGCCUCCCCCCACCAUCCCAGAGGCCACAGCCGCCCCAGGGUUUCUACAGGAUGGAGGGACGUCAAGGCCAAUCCGGUCAGUGGAACUGCCCACAGGCCUCAUGGAAAGUAGCCACAUGGAGUCCAAGGUGGCUCAGCUUGGGCCAUGUGUCACCAAAGUUUCCGUGUUACGCCCCCCUGUAAACAAGAAGACGUCCCCAGUCCUCCCGUUGCCACAACGGUGACCAGCCCACAGAAAGCAGCGGGAGGGGAAGGGAAGGAGGGCCACAAAGGUAGAAUUCACCUCUCAUUCCCAGUCUGGAGGGAAAUGCCGACUGAAGCCUUGAGCCGUGACUCCCUUCACGAGAUGUGACUCCAGUGGACAAGACCGGUGACAGCUGGUGUCGGGGAGGCCGCAGAGCCGCUGGAACUCCCUCACGCUCAUGGCGGGGCUGUGCGAUGGCCGCUGAACAAUUAUUCCGUGAGUGGCUGGUGUGAGCUCUUCUGUGACCCUGCGGCGCCCUUGCAGGCAUUUGCUGAUGAGCAGAGAAGCCCUGUGUUCACACGAAGAUUGCACGCGGCUUUGUUCUGACAGGGGGGAGCCGGGAACGAUGGCAGGUCCCUCAUCAGGAUCAGGGACGAACAAACUGCCGUCUGCUCGCACGACAGAACACCUCUCGUCAACGCAAAGGAACCACUGCCCCCCACACAGCCACGGACAGACCUCAGAAACACGGUGAGCAAAAGCAGCCGGGCCGAAGAGACGCAUUCGCGGGGGUCCACCAGAUGUGGGUUCAAGGCAGGCAGACCCUCCCCAUGGGGUCGGAGCUCAGGAGGAGCAAACUCGUGGGCGAUGGAAAUGCUCUCCGUCUUGACGUGGGUGGUGGUCACCUGGGUACAUGUGCCAGGGGUCAUCGAGCCGUCCGCUUGUGCUGUGCCUUUGACCUCAUGUGAUUUAUAUUCUAAUAAAGUACCGUGAAAAUCUGUGA